UACAAUUUUUAAAAAUUAACA
rnacentral:piRNA from 1 species